GGGAGGUGGAAAUUCAAUAAGAUGCAGCUAUGAGUUAGCUGUAGAACAAUGGGAUUUUGGGGGUCCCUAUUUGGGGAGGAUCUUCACACCGCAUGGCAGCACAUCCUGGACAAAGACCUAGGAAGAAAGAAAAGGUAGGUAAAUAAAUAAAAAUGGGAAGAAACUUCUAGAGAAGUUGCACCUGUUGGUAGUGUGGUGACUGUCUCAUAAUGUU
rnacentral:lncRNA from 1 species